rnacentral:rRNA from 1 species
CCUUCGGGGUACACGAGCGGCGAACGGGUGAGUAACACGUGGGUGAUCUGCCUCGCACUUCGGGAUAAGCCUGGGAAACUGGGUCUAAUACCGGAUAUGACCUUUCAGUGCAUGCUGUUGGGUGGAAAGAUUUAUCGGUGCGAGAUGGGCCCGCGGCCUAUCAGCUUGUUGGCGGGGUAACGGCCCACCAAGGCGACGACGGGUAGCCGACCUGAGAGGGUGACCGGCCACACUGGGACUGAGACACGGCCCAGACUCCUACGGGAGGCAGCAGUGGGGAAUAUUGCACAAUGGGCGAAAGCCUGAUGCAGCGACGCCGCGUGAGGGAUGACGGCCUUCGGGUUGUAAACCUCUUUCGACAGGGACGAAGCGCAAGUGACGGUACCUGUAGAAGAAGCACCGGCCAACUACGUG